UACGGAGGGAGCUAGCGUUGUUCGGAAUUACUGGGCGUAAAGCGCACGUAGGCGGCCAUUCAAGUCAGAGGUGAAAGCCCAGGGCUCAACCCUGGAACUGCCUUUGAAACUAGAUGGCUAGAAUCCUGGAGAGGCGAGUGGAAUUCCGAGUGUAGAGGUGAAAUUCGUAGAUAUUCGGAAGAACACCAGUGGCGAAGGCGACUCGCUGGACAGGUAUUGACGCUGAGGUGCGAAAGCGUGGGGAGCAAACAGGAUUAGAAACCCCCGUAGUCC
rnacentral:rRNA from 1 species